ensembl:lncRNA
UCCGGCAUCUGAGAAGGAUGAGAAAGAGGUAGAAUUGCGUUCACAUUCAUAAUUCCGAUUCCAUUCAGUGGAUUUUUGGAGUUGCAUAUUGGACUCAGACUCACUCUGUAUUCUUAACGGCUAAUUCCAAAUCUGGGCCAGACUCAGACAUGGUCCGGGAUCCAAAAUGUCCGGGAUUCCAGGUCUGAGAUCCAUGGUCCAAGAUCCAGGAUGUCUGGGAUCCAAGGUCCAGGAUCAAUGGUCCAUUAUCCAGGAUGUCUGGCAUCCAAGGUCCGAGAUCCAUGAUCUGGGAUCCAUGAUUUUUCAGAUCUGAAAUGUCCGAGACACUGUGGAUAUAAAGGAAAGAAAGUAUCAAAAAGUGGAGGGCUGACGAACUCUUGGGGGACCUGGACGGAGCUAUCUGAAGGACUGACAAAAACACUGAUCUGAAACACACAUGUAGGCCCCAGCAUCAGCGGCAGUAUAUGCGCACCACAGUGCCGUGACGCAGACAAGUAGCAACCAGGAGAUCUAGUUCAAGGCGGCGCCGUGUUCAUGUGGUCACAAGGGGGCGAGGUCUGAACUGCUGUCUCUCAGAACGCACACUUCUUAACACUCAAUUCUCCACACUCUGCUGGUCACCAUGACAACGGGUGAAGCGA